GGAGGAGUGGCAGAGCUGGUUGAAUGCACCGGUCUUGAAAACCGGCGUACGUUUACGCGUACCGGGGGUUCGAAUCCCUCCUCCUCCG
rnacentral:tRNA from 1 species